AGCUAAGAAACUUGAGUGUCCACGUGCAUUCUUGGGUUACUAACAUUUUUUAUUGUUGUUAUUGCUUGAGAAUACACGUAGUUAACAAGUCUCUUCCAGC
rnacentral:pre_miRNA from 12 species